UGGUGGUCUUUGUCUGCAAGAACGGAAACAGCAAAGAGCAGAAUUGUUAGCAACAGCAAAGCCGAAACCACUGAAGAGCCGUGUCAGCUGCCCUGCACCCAGUGCCAGAAACGUGCCUAGGUUACAUAGGCGGCAGGUGAGUGAGGUCCACCCCAGAUGUCCAUCUCCUGGCCGGAAGUCCCCUUGGCGUCUCCUCCAGGGGCCAAUUUUUGCUCCCAGUUACUCGGUGGAGAAUCGCACUGAAGUCAAUGGAAGUUGCAACCAAUUUAGGCCCCGACUCUGCAUGCUGCAGCUCAUGAGUAGAGCCCAUUUGGCGUCAGCGUUGCUCUGCAGGGACGCUGGGGUCCGCCCACAUGAUGCCAUUGCAGGAUCGGGGCCCAGCUGGAUAUAGAACGUGGCCUCUCAGGCAGCCAUGGCCCUACACUCCCUGAAUUCCACCCUCUGAUAACAAGAUGCAAACCCCUCGUGCC